GUCACAACAAGCACUGCAAGAGAGACGCUCAUUACUGAUCAGCAUAACCCCUGUAGACAUCAGAAGGAAUCAACAUUCACUACUGAAAUACGAUAAGGCUUGCUAACUGUCAAGCAGAGCUCAAAAAGAUGCCUCAGAAGCUACUGAGCAUGCUCCAUACUUUUGAACUCUAGAGAUGCAGAGAGGUGGCCAGGAGCUACUGCGCAUGAUCAAACCAGGCACUCUCUUAACAACCUGGCCAGUUUUAUCAGAAUACUCAGAGACCAAUGUGCAAGCGUGGCCACCACCGCAGGUUGGCACAGGUGGCUGUGUUCCAUGAAAAACAAUUAUAAAUAACCCAAUGAACAAUGGAGAGAAAUAAAGAAAAUGGUGCAGAAAAGAAAAAUGAAGCUAAAGUACAAGGGAAGGGAGACAGCGGCAGCUAGUACUUGUGAGCUGUCUAUGAGCUCAUGGAUCCUGCUAUUAAUGGUAACACAAGCACCAACUCAAGGAUAGAUUUUUUUUCAAUAGGGGGGUGUGCAGUACCCCAGAGCAAGGGGUAUCUGCAAAAAGUUCAUUUCUUUAUGUUAUGUGAUGUUAUGUCGUGCUAUGUAUUGGACCCAGUAUAACCAUGUAUGGAUGGCACAGCCUAGGUUAACAAUCCUGGCUUUAGCCCUUGUAGGAGGUUAGGUGUGGACUGGAUCCACUUCUUAGCUCUAGUCACUGAUAGGGAGAGUUAGGAAGAGAGCGAUAACUGUGACUUGUGCUCCCACUUCUAAGGCACAAGCUACAGAGACUCACUGAUCUCUGCAUGA